rnacentral:lncRNA from 1 species
GGGUCACUGAGGCGGUGGGGGCUGGUGGCCGGGAGGAGGCGGGUAAGAGGCGAGAAGGACAUGGCCGGGGGGGCAUGUGGACUAGGCUGGGGAUGAGGGCCGGGUCUCCAGGAGCCUCUGGGGGGUCAGCCCAGGAGACUCGGUGAUGGCUUGUGGGUCAACAGCCCUCCUGGAGGAAGUGAGGGCGCAGGUCCCCCGAGCCCGGCCUGGGGACCACCAGGGUCCCCGGUUUCCACCAUGAGGCCCUGCCUCGAGCAGGUGCCUCCGGGUACCAGCAGCUGGCCAGCUUGCCCAAAGGGCGCAGCCACGCCACCCGGCCGGGUCUGGCCCAUUCUGAGCACUGGCCCUGGUCCCGUUUCCUGGACUCCCCGAGAAUCCCAUCUCUGUGCUAAUGAUCCCCCAAAGUGUCUCUUCCCACCCAGGUACGGGCCUGCCCAAGCCCAUCACCCAGCCUCCCGGGACCCCCCAGGCCCCUGCAGCCCCCAGGUCUUUUGUAUGGGCAGGCUGCUUUCCGGGCGAGGGUGAGAACUAUUGCCCAUAUUUGACGAUGAUUAUCCUGAACUGUCCCCUAUUCUUUUCUCCUAAAUGCAUUAUUUUCAGGAAAUUCUAUGUUGUAAGCUGGGAGUUGGCAAACGUCAGUCCUCGGGCCAAACCCGGCCCGCUGCCAUUUUCUGUAAAUAAAGUUGCGUUGGUGCGCAG